rnacentral:rRNA from 1 species
AUGGAGCUGCAUCUACUACUGAAUCCUCUCUGCAGCGAGCUCGCGGUUCCUGACGAACCCGACGUAGACUCUCUGAACAUGAGAUAUGUUGUCCUCUUCCGCCGUGGAAUCCAGGGUCAGCUCUUCAAGCGUGGCCACGUGUUCGAUCCCGCACGGCAACGACUUCAACUCCGGACAGAGCAGGAGCUUGAGAUCGACCAAGCUGGGCAUCGCCCCGCUUCUUAUCGUCAUCUGGCUGAGACGCGGGGCUCCCCAGAUCUUGAGCACCCGGAGCUUCUGAAACGACGUCUCCCGGAAGCGCAUCCUGGUGCCGUCAAACGCAUCGUAGAGCUGGAGCUUCACCAGCUGCUGCAGCUCCUCGAGGUAGCAGAACAUGUCCUCCUCGAGCUUUGA